rnacentral:rRNA from 1 species
CAAUAGCGUAUAUUAAAGUUGUUGCAGUUAAAAAGCUCGUAGUUGGAUUUCGGGAUGGCACUGCCGGUCCGCCGCAAGGUGUGUCACUGGCCGGGCUGUUCUUCUUCGCAAAGACUGCGUGUGCUCUUAACUGAGUGUGCGGAGAAUUUGUGACGUUUACUUUGAACAAAUUAGAGUGUUCCAAGCAGGCCGUUGCUUUGAAUACAUUAGCAUGGAAUAAUGGAAUAGGGCUGCGUGACUCGUUGCCUUCGGGUGGCGGGUCCUCGUGUCCUAUUUUGUUGGUUUUCGGGACCGCAGUCAUGGUCAAGAGGGACAGUUGGGGGCAUUCGUAUUCAGUUGUCAGAGGUGAAAUUCUUGGAUUUACGGAAGACGAACAACUGCGAAAGCAUUUGCCAAGGAUGUUUUCAUUAA